AUUGAACGCUGGCGGCAUGCUUUACACAUGCAAGUCGAACGGCAGCACGGGGGCAACCCUGGUGGCGAGUGGCGAACGGGUGAGUAACACAUCGGAACGUGCCCAGUUGUGGGGAAUAACCUAUCGAAAGGUAGGCUAAUACCGCAUGAGCUCGGCAAGAGGAAAGCGGGGGACUCAGCGAUGGGCCUCGCGCGACUGGAGCGGCCGAUGUCCGAUUAGCAGUUGGUGGGGUAAAGGCUUACCAAGGCGACGAUCGGUAGCUGUCUGAGAGGAUGAUCAGCCACACUGGGACUGAGACACGGCCCAGACUCCUACGGGAGGCAGCAGUGGGAAUUUUGGACAAUGGGGCAACCCUGAUCCAAGCCAUGCCGCGUGAGUGAAGAAGGCC
rnacentral:rRNA from 1 species